GUUCGACCCAUUUGGGUUAGAUGAACUCAUUUGAUAGCUCGAUGCAACUUCAAUCCUAUAAUUGAGGUCACCCACAGUUCUGUAGUUGGUGAUUCAUAGCUUUCUAAGCAACUUUGGCUUCGCAUUUUCUCACCUACAGAUACUUUUGAAUUAGUCUGCAUUAAAAGAUCUUGAUGUCAAGAACACGUAACAUAAUGGUUGCAAUAGGCUUGGUAGCUUUUGCAAGUGCAUGUUUAGCUUUUCCCUUUUAUAUGGCGUAAGCCGACUAGGUCAUCAUCAAAGGCCCAGGUUAUUGAUUCAUCAAAACCAUUGCCACCUCAAGCAACUUUUAGAGGACCUUAUAUCAAUAUUGGAUCACGUGAUGUUGGACCUGAUUAUCAGACUUAUUCCAAGAAAUAAUCUUUUUUAGCUACUUUAUUUUUAUUUGUGUCAUGUAUUGUAGUAACUAAAGUAUUUAUAAAACAAUGUACUUUGUUAAAAUGAUUAAAUUAAUAAUAUCAAUCCGUUUGGUUUC